rnacentral:pre_miRNA from 1 species
UCUUGGAGUAGGUCAUUGGGUGGAUUCCCUAUUUCGUGACAUGGGCCACUGGAUGGCUCCUCCAUGGCU